rnacentral:tRNA from 1 species
UAGAUUGAGGCCAGUUUUGGGUGUUUAGCUGUUAACUAAAGUUUCGUAGGUUUGAGUCCUGCCAAUCUAG